rnacentral:RNase_MRP_RNA from 1 species
CCUAGCUGUGGGGAAAGUCCCCGAACAACUGGAGGAGAGCUCCACCCUUAGAUGGGAAGUUUCCUGCUGUAAUCUGUAAGGCGAAGAUGGUUCGGCCGGAGUCAGGGUUGCUGCAGGCAGCGUUCGUUAAAGCACAGUCAUGCGAGUGGCGGUCGUCUUCGGACGGCCGCUAACCCAACGGGGCUUACUCUCUU